UACGUAGGGGGGCUAGCGUUACUCGGAAUUACUGGGCGUAAAGCGUGCGUAGGUGGUUGUUUAAGUCUGCUGUGAAAGCCCUGGGCUCAACCUGGGAAUUGCAGUGGAUACUGGGCGACUAGAGUGUGGUAGAGGAUAGUGGAAUUUCCGGUGUAGCAGUGAAAUGCGUAGAGAUCGGAAGGAACAUCUGUGGCGAAGGCGACUAUCUGGGCCAACACUGACACUGAGGCACGAAAGCGUGGGGAGCAAACAGG
rnacentral:rRNA from 1 species